UUGAAGGCACUUUGAACGAAGUCGUCAUCGUUGGUUCUACAUAGUCGCACGAGGUGCCUGACCGAGCUCAUUCAUUCCCAAUCAUUGAAUUCGUCAAUCUAACAUUGUUAUGCCUUCAUCCAAGCUUCGACUCGAUCAGCACUCCAAAAACUGCAAGGAAGUAGAUCCAGCGACAAAACAGCAUCACAACAGCGAGAAAGAUUCAAUUCGAUCAGCACGAUCAGUAUCCUCAUCUCCAGGAAAGGAGAUUAAGAUUGCAGCCAGGCACACAUCUCGUUAGCACCACACGACAGCCAGUGGAUCUGAAAAUCAUACACAUCGAAAGAAGUGCAUCUCCACUGAGGGGCGUUCGAUCGCUGCGUUCCCGACUAGGAGCACCACUAGGUCGACAAAGCCCUC